GCCCCCGUAGCUCAGCGGAUAGAGUGUCGGCCUCCGGAGCCGAAGGCCCAGGUUCGAGUCCUGGCGGGGGUACCA
rnacentral:tRNA from 1 species